CGGGGGGCAGCAGUGGGGAAUAUUGGACAAUGGGGGGAACCCUGAUCCAGCCAUGCCGCGUGUGUGAAGAAGGCCUUUUGGUUGUAAAGCACUUUAAGCGAGGAGGAGGCUACCGAGAUUAAUACUCUUGGAUAGUGGACGUUACUCGCAGAAUAAGCACCGGCUAACUCUGUGCCAGCAGCCGCGGUAAUACAGAGGGUGCAAGCGUUAAUCGGAUUUACUGGGCGUAAAGCGCGCGUAGGUGGCCAAUUAAGUCAAAUGUGAAAUCCCCGAGCUUAACUUGGGAAUUGCAUUCGAUACUGGUUGGCUAGAGUAUGGGAGAGGAUGGUAGAAUUCCAGGUGUAGCGGUGAAAUGCGUAGAGAUCUGGAGGAAUACCGAUGGCGAAGGCAGCCAUCUGGCCUAAUACUGACACUGAGGUGCGAAAGCAUGGGGAGCAAACAGGAUUAGAUACCCGGGU
rnacentral:rRNA from 1 species